rnacentral:lncRNA from 1 species
AGAUCAGCUAUGAGACUGCACUGGUCUACAUCCCUUCCACUCCGUCCUCUCUCAUCAUCUGCCUUGUUCCUGAGAAGAUGUGUUUGAUGAGUAAUUCCAAUACAGAUCUUGCACUGUUGGCUGACUUCUCCAACUUGUUAAUUAAUUCAUAAAAUGGUUUUCUGUUAAUUAAAGAGGAAAGGGCUCCAUCUAGCUGUUUGGGAGACAGAAAAUGCAUCCCAGGAUUGACAGCAGGAAGGGGCUAUGUGAGUUACCCUGUUCCUCUUUUUUUAGAUGACAUCUGUGGAAAACAAUAAACUUCACUUCCUUUCUUAAAACAGUGGGAAAUGCAGACAUCUGCUAUUUGCAAUAACUAAAUCCUAACUCAAGAUAUUUUCGAGCAGAACUUGAUAAAUGUCCUGAACUUCUGCAAUGCAACCCCAAAUUUCAAUCAUAUUUAUUCUUUUUCUCUCCCCUUCAUGUAUUUUAAGGAGAGUAUCUGGCAUGCUCACCAAAAUCUGCAAAGAAACACACAUGCAAAGUUGGUAAAUAUUGUAGUUCAGUUAUAUGAAUUCCCAGCAAGUGUGUAAGAAGAAAAUCAACCCAAUUUGCAAAAGGACCUCACAGAGCUGAGGCUGGGCUGAGCACUGUCACUUUCCGUAGCUUGCGAGGUCUCUGUGCCACUGUCAACCAGGUACAGUGUCCCUGUCAGCUGGCCCUAGAAGGCUGUGCAUGGAUAACCAGGCUUAUUUGCCAAGGGACACCUUGGCAUGGAACACAAAGGGCACAUCACAGGAUAACCUGCUGUAGCAUGAUUGGCUUCAGAGUAGCUCUGAUAUCAAACCGAUAGUCAGGUGCUGGGGCAAAGAGCUGCGAUUUCUCAAAGAUUCCUGCAGUGAGCUCGGAGGCUGCAUUGCAGGAAGAAAUAACAGCCAAGGAGCCCUGGCUAUGAUGCUGCAGAGAGUCAGGAAAAACAGGGAACAUUGACCUGGAACGUCCCAGUGAGCGUGGAAUGUGUUGAGCAUUGGAUGCGAGGCCCCUGAGCUGUUGGAGGGUCUGGUGCUCUGUGUGUGCAGACGGCAUGCAAGUGCAGGCACAUGUUCUGUAUGCCGUUUUGGGAGAGGCGGCAGAGGUGCUGCUCAGAAAAGGCUGUGUUCAAAUAGGAUUUGCAGAAGAGACGCCCAGGAAUUGUAAGAAUUCAGCAGACUCUCUCAGAGCUGCCCCCAGGCACUCGUUUCCAAAGAGCAUGGAGCCCGAGGUUCUCUCCACCCUGCGACUGAGUUCGCUUUUUACCGGAGAUAAAGGUCCAGGUAACAUUAGGUCGCCUACCCUAUAGAUAACAAGCAGCCACUCAGGUUCAUUUCAGUCACUUCUGUGUCCCCUACAAGAUUCUCUCUACUGCCGCAGGCAGCGGGAAGCCGGAAAAGUAAGCCUGUGUCUCUGCAGGAGCCACCUAACUGCACCAGGACUCACGGAGAGGGAAAUGAAAUGACACCAACUCUGAGUGAAUAGGAGUUCCGACGCAGGAGAACCAGUGUGAAUGGAAGUAGGACGAGAUAACAUAAAAUUAAUUUCUUUCCAUUGAAAAGUCAUAUGGAAUUUUACCUUACUGAACCCAUGAUCUCAAGAAAAUUUCCUGCUGUUUUCCUCUGAAAUGCUUGUCAGAUACUAAUUCAACAGCACACGAGAGGAUGACAGAGCAAUCACCAUCUUCAGCUUAGCUUCAGUGUCAAGACGUCGCAUUGCUGUCGUGAGACAGCGCUGCUCAAGUUGAAUUAUUUGACAUAUGAAGAAACUGGAAUCUAUGAACUGACUGACUCACCCAGGUUUGCUGUUUGUGGCAAAAGUGCAGUUGCAGUCCUGGCAUCUACACUCCUGUCUUGGUCUGAGGAUCUUCUGAAGAGGGCCCAAGGCAGGGAUUCAAAGGCCAGGAGUUUACUUGGAAGAUCCUCCUGGAGAAUAAGGACUAAACUAAGCAGGGAAGUAAAGGAAGCUGAAGAAGUGUGCAUAACCAGGCGUGCUGCCACCGUGGGCAACUGGAGAUUCAUUCUGCUGGGACCCGUGUCAACUGGACAACUCAGAGUUGUCUCAUCCAAGGGGUGAGGGAGAGGAGGCAUUUAUCUACCAACUCCUAACAGUUCUUGGUUUGGAGCUGAACUGGAGGUGAAGAGCCUCAGUAUCUCCCACCUAUUGUAGAAACAGCAAAUCCCUAGGAACCAGGAGAAGCCCCCAGGCACAGAGAUGCAGGUGCCAGCCAUUGAAGUUAUGUCGCAUGUGCUAAAAUAACAAAAGCCAAAGAAAUGGGGCAGCUAAAACUCCUAACUCCAGUCUGUGUCUGCAUUUUAAUGGAUCAGAAAUGUACUAUGGCCAGAUUGAGAAAAGGGAAGACCAUUUAUUCCUCUAAUCUACAACUCAGCUCUUUUUCCCCUCAAGUUUAGCUCUGAUAGGCAGACUCUCAAAAAUGUUACCCCUUAAAGAGAGGAUGCUUACUACCCAUGAAAUUACCCAAAUAAUUCAGGAAAGUAUGAUCAGACAAGGAGAAUGAAAAUGACUUCAGUUCCAGUGUUGUUAUAAAAUGUUUUACGUCCAAAUUCCUCAGAUAUGAGUCAGAUUAUGUGAGUACUGCAAGAAAAAUAUACAUUUAUGUCUUUUUCACAGCAAACUUCAUGGCAAUUAAGUCAAAUAAACGCUUAAGGGAUCUCA